rnacentral:lncRNA from 1 species
AGUUGAACAUUUAUUGUAUCAUUUACUCUAUAGAGGCAAUCUCAUUAUUACAGUAAAUAUAGCCAGUUAUGUGCAUUUAUAGACACAGGGUUCUAUAAUGUACAUGGCAAUUUGUAACAAAUACACAAAUGUAAUGGAUAUUUGGGGUUAUUUUUGAUACAAGCUUAUAUAACAAAGAUUCUGUGGCUGUGUGCUAAGGAGCGGUUUCGAUUUGAAGACUUGAAAAAUUUUUAAUGAAAUCUUGCCUCCUUCCCCCUUUUUUUGGCAGAUGAAUUAUUGAAGAAAAAGUGUGAAAGCAGAUUGAUUCUGUACCCACUUUUUAGAUUUCAGAUUCACAUGCAUCGUAAUAAAGUUGCCUCCAUGCGGUCUUAAUUCAGUGAAGGCUUUCUGGUUUGGAGUUCAUAUACAUAAUUGUGCAAAGGCUCUGUAGUGUAAUACCUUUGUGAUGUGUACAGACAUAACAAAAGUCUCUGAAGGCAAGAGGUCAGCAAGAGAAGCCUGUGUCAGCAGAGUGUGAAGGGACCUUGAUGUGCAUAUGGAGUGAGUGCCUACAUAGAAGAUGGUUGGAGCUGCCACCCUGCUCUAGACGGCCCCGGAACGGCAGGGAACAAAGCUCAAGCCACUCCAGAAUCCUCCCC